rnacentral:sRNA from 1 species
GUUGUGAUGUUGUGCUUGGGAAGACAAAGUAAAAAGGAGAAAAGGAAAAGCUUUUAUAUGAAAAUAAACAAUUUGAGAAGAUUGCUGAAGAAUUAAAAGGAACAGAACAAGAACUAAUUGGUCUUCUCCAAGCCAGAGAGAAAGAAGUACAUGAUUUGGAAAUACAGUUAACUGCCGUUACCACAAGUGAACAGUAUUAUUCAAAAGAGGUUAAAGAUCUGAAAACUCAGCUUGAAAAUGAGAAGCUUAAGAAUACUGAAUUAACUUCACACUGCAACAAGCUUUCACUAGAAAACAAAGAGCUCACACAGGAAACAAGUGAUAUGACCCUAGAACUCAAGAAUCAGCAAGAAGAUAUUAAUAAAUGAACUGGAAUAUGUGAGAGAAGAGCUAAAACAGAAAAGAGAUGAAGUUAAAUGUAAAUUGGACAAGAGUGAAGAAAAUUGUAACAAUUUAAGGAAACAAGUUGAAAAUAAAAACAAGUAUAUUGAAGAACUUCAGCAGGAGAAUAAGGCCUUGAAAAAAAAAGGUACAGCAGAAAGCAAGCAACUGAAUGUUUAUGAGAUAAAGGUCAAUAAAUUAGAGUUAGAACUAGAAAGUGCCAAACAGAAAUGUGGAGAAAUCACGGACACUUAUCAGAAAGAAAUUGAGGACAAAAAGAUAUCAGAAGAAAAUCUUUUGGAAGAGGUUGAGAAAGCAAAAGUAAUAGCUGAUGAAGCAGUAAAAUUACAGAAAGAAAUUGAUAAACGAUGUCAACAUAAAA